UGGGGAAUAUUGCACAAUGGGGGAAACCCUGAUGCAGCCAUGCCGCGUGUGUGAAGAAGGCCUUCGGGUUGUAAAGCACUUUCAGUAGGGAGGAAAGGUAAUAGUUUAAUACGCUAUUACUGUGACGUUACCUACAGAAGAAGGACCGGCUAACUCCGUGCCAGCAGCCGCGGUAAUACGGAGGGUCCGAGCGUUAAUCGGAAUUACUGGGCGUAAAGCGUGCGCAGGCGGUUUGUUAAGCGAGACGUGAAAGCCCCGGGCUCAACCUGGGAAUUGCAUUUCGAACUGGCGAACUAGAGUCUUGUAGAGGGGGGUAGAAUUCCAGGUGUAGCGGUGAAAUGCGUAGAGAUCUGGAGGAAUACCGGUGGCGAAGGCGGCCCCCUGGACAAAGACUGACGCUCAGGCACGAAAGCGUGGGGAGCAAACAGGAUUAGAUACCCUGGUAGUCCACGCCGUAAACGAUGUCUACUCGGAGUUUGGUGUCUUGAACACUGGGCUCUCAAGCUAACGCAUUAAGUAGACCGCCUGGGGAGUACGGCCGCAAGGUUA
rnacentral:rRNA from 1 species